AUGCUCGCUUCAGUAGCAUACAUACUAAAAUUGGAAUGAUACAGAGAAGAUUAGGAUGGCCUCUGCACAAGGAUGACACACAAGUUCAUUAAGUGUUCCAUAUUUUU